UGUGGCGCAGCUUGGUAGCGCGCGUCGUUCGGGACGACGAGGCCGCAGGUUCAAAUCCUGUCA
rnacentral:tRNA from 2 species